UACGUCCCGGGCUUGUACACACCGCCCGUCACGUCACGAAAGUCGGCAACACCCGAAGCCGGUGGCCUAACCCGUAAGGGAGGGAGCCGUCGAAGGUGGGGCCAGCGAUUGGGACG
rnacentral:rRNA from 1 species